UGCAGCCAUCAUUAAUGGGUUUGAAUACACCUGUGCUUUUCCUACUAUGACAUGUCAACAUGUCUGCCGUGAAAAAAGGUCUAUCUAAGCCAAUCAGAGAUCACUGCCACAGUCUGAGACGACAUGUAGAGCAAGUUUGAGAGAGAAAUAUGCUUUGGAAACGUGUUAAGUGUUAACGUUUAAAACGUGGACGUUAAAGCGGAGUCAGCUGUAAACGCCGGCCGCAGCUUUCACAGAGGACUUCGCUGGAGGACAGUGCUAAUUAGCCGUUGUGGCUACUGUCUUGGGACGGGGGAGCCACUCCGCCGCCGGGCCUGCGUUGCCACACAGACGGAUCGCUUGCCAAACCUUGCCUGCAGCUUGUCUCAUCAGCCCAGCUCGUCGCGGAUCGGAUGCGAAGACUCCAUAAAGAGUCAUCGGGGAGAUGUCACUGCCUGUUCCAUCCCCUGGCAUUGAAACCUCCGCCGUUGCAGCAAAAGACAAGAAGUUGCGGACGAGCUCUAGCUGCCCGCAUGACCACUGGAAUACCAAGUAACUGUGAAUGGAGACAGCAGUGCCACUUUCCACUGGCAAGAGAGACAAGGUUCAGCACCAUGUGCCGAGAAUACAAACAACACCCCGGGUCCUUCACAGAUUCAGAAAACGCUCCUGUGGUUUUCGGAUGUGGGGCUGCAGGAUAUUUUGACGAUUCACAUGACAAGCUGCUGGGUGCAUUAAAGGGCCAGUAUGUUUUUCUGCCCCAUAGCAGAACGUGACCAUGAAAUAUCCAUCGAUGGUCGAUGGGGGUUGUUGAUCAAUACCAAUGGCCGUAAAUUACUGGCACCGAGGGUUUUGUCUUUCACCUGAGUGUCAAGGUUUGCCAGAUUUGUUUUGUGGAAGUUCUUGCAGGGUUGUUUGAAGUCUUUCUAGCACAAGACCGAUCAGUAAAGGUCAUAGAGGACUAAAUGUCCCUAAAAACAUUAAACAAUAGACGUCAUCAAACACCAUACCGUAAAUUCUCCUAAAGCCCGUUUGUGUGGCUGACAUGAGCCAAUAAAGGCUUGUCCCUAAUAAAGACCGGUUUAAAAAGAUUUUGAAGAGGUUGAAUUGCCUGUAGUUUAAUGGCUUACAUGGUACAUUUAUGGAGCCAGGACAGUGACAGUAACCUGUA